CUUUUGACCCAAAAUCACAUCUUGCCUAUUUAAAUCAUUAUAAACAAAAAUAAGAACUACUUUUUUCCCAAUGCGGGAAAAUGCUUUUUUAGGUUUUAUUGGCUUAUAUAUUUUCCCCACCUAAUGAUAUAAAAAAUGCACUUGAUAUGGCAUAAAGUGUUUAUUUUUAUUCUGCUUUUUCUGACAUGUUCUCUCUAUUAUCGAGAAAUAACACCAGUCAUCUAAAAUUAUGCAUUAUUUAUAAUAUAACCAUCAUCAACAACAACAACUAGUAGGCCUGGUAAAAAUAACUAGUGACUAUGGUAUUUUGGCGGGAACUGUGACUGCGGUUACCAUGGUGAAGGUUUGCGCAGGUGACGUCAGUCCAGUCCUCCAGUCCAGCUGGGGGCGUCACACUCUCUCCCGCGCUCUGCGUGAUACACGACUCUUCAGUGUAAAAGAAGAGGAGGACGGUUCAAUUUCUCGCCCUCUGGUUGCGAAGUUCGCGUCCGUUUGACGGCGGGCUCAUGUCGAAGGACGGGCGGUACGAGGGGCGGCGUCGCGGCGGGGCUCAGCAGCACCGGCUCGGGCUGAGGUCGGCUCAGAGCAGGGACGCCAGAGACAGAUCGGCCAGCAACAGCUCUGGAUCAUCUCACGGAGGAGGGAAGAGCAGGAAUACGCCCAUCAACAUCGUCCUAAAGCUGUGUCUGUUCCACAUCUCAUUGGAGAAUCUCUAUUUACAUCUAUGUCAUCGGUGUAAGUUACCCACCGCCGAGCUCCAAUCAUAUGUUGAGUCUGCGGCAUGUCCAAUGCAGACGCGCUGACACACGCAGCCCCGCCGCCUCCAGCACAUGCUGGACGAGUGGGCGGCCUGCCAUGUGCACAUGACUGCAAAGAGAGAGAGGAGCUCUGCACGAUACUCUGCCAAGCUGUGGAGGGUGACUACGCCACAACCAAGACAGCAGAACUGUAGCGGCAGAGUCGCUGUGCAGCCGAGACGUUGCAGAAAGACGUCCUUAUGGCCAGGACAUGAAGUCCAUCCUGCUGAUUGGCAGAGGCAUCUACUCGGCGAGUUUGUAGGAGUCACGCUCAACCACGGGGCUAUUUUUGGUCCAGCUGUCAAAUGACGAUGACAGGCAGUUCGUGCAGCGGAGAUACUGGUUAAGGGGGAAAACAGGUUGCCAUAAACAAAUUUGGUAGCAUGUCAGGGCCGGAUAUGGAUAUGGAUGAGGAACCUGCUUACAGACUCCACUUCUACUCUGUACGUACCUACUUUCCUCUUCCCAUCAUUCUUUCUGCUUAGACGCGCUUGAAACUCUAUCCUUGCUGCUCUGUUAUUUGUGCUGAAAGCAGUUCUUUGUAGCUGGAUGUUCUUGUUUUGCAGUUCUGAGGGGCUCGGUUAGAUCUAACUCCAGUGACCUCGGGUGUCAAGGGGCCUGCUGGUGAUUAGGUGAUUAGCUCGAUUCGUCUCACGCAUGCAUGGAGCGCUGACCUGAGAUCAGAUGCACCCUUCUCACUUUUACCUUGGUUAUUUUGCACCAACGGUUGCCAAAUCGGAAACCGACUCCCCCCACCACCCCCUUCUGCCAAGAUGCACGACAAAUGUAGACUCAGGUCUUCCAUUGCCAGUCAGCUGCCAGAAACCUGGGAAACCCAGAGUAAAUAUUUACCAUUCAAACACGUGCUGACAGGCAAGUUAAUUUACUUGCGUGUCUUUUUUGAAUUGCAAAAAUUGUUUGUUUCGUGAUCUCAAAGCCUCAUUCAUGCUUAUCUGCAGACCUCUAGAGAGUAAAGCUGUGUAAUGAGGGCUGUUGUCAUUGGCUAAGUAGGUCAGUUGUGUAUUUUAACCCUGAGGACAUGAGAUAGUGGCAGGGGAGAACAGUAAAAUGUUUAUGCAUGUGAAAAAACCAGUGAGCCUGAUGAAAUAUUCCUCUGUGUGAGGGAAUGUGACAGACAGAACAGCUUUGCAUUUGCGUAACGGUGGAAUAGGGCCAGCAAACAACAGAAUAAUUAGCUAUAUGCCAAGUUGUAUUUUUUUUAGAUUAUUAUAUUCAAUAAUGUAUCAAAGGAGUUUAACACACUAUCCAGAGUGAAUCAAUUGAAUGUUUUGGGUAUACAGACAAUUGAGAUACCGAAGGCAUUGGUUUUUAAAGUCCAAUAUGAAUUUAAUUUAGAAAAAAUUCUAUUUUUGAUGACACUUUAUUUUAAGGAACAAUUCUCACUAUUAACUAGCAUGCAUAUUACUAGCAUAUUGGCUGUUUAUUAGUACUUACAAAGUAUAUUAAUGCUUUGUCCUGCAUGAAGAUACUGUUGAUCCCUAUCUUGCUAACUAUUAAGCAGCAAUAGGAGUUUGAGGCAAACGUCAUGGUUAAUAGUUAAUUGUGAGAAUUAGACAUUAAAAUAAAAUAUGACCCUAUCUUUUAAAGAAUACUCCA
ensembl:lncRNA